AUGAUCUGGGAUUAUUCAAGUGGCUGCAAACCUAAUGAGAUGAGUCCAUAAAAAGGAAGGAAGAAGAGCCUGUGAGAAGGGUCUGACCUACCCUUGCUGGUUUUGAAGAUAGUCGAAGGGUCCUCAAACCAACCGGCUCCAAGCAGUGGGAACAGAGAGCUGAGGUAGCACAAACACCCCCAGGAACUCUGCUCAGCCCCCAAGCCAUGAAGAAGUGAGAACUUGCACCAGGAGCAAACACAGCAAAAGGGGUUUGUGAGGGUGCAGGAUUCUCUGCUCCCUAAGUGGCCCUGGUCCCUGGCCUCGGGAAGGAGCACAUCUUUACAAUCUCAAUACACCUUUCCAGCUGGUGGCUGUCUGCUGUCAUAUUAGUAGUACUGAA
rnacentral:lncRNA from 1 species